UCGUACAUGACAAAUAAAUAUUCCAUUUACGUACUACGUACUACUGACCGUGUGGAUGUAACAUUCCGUAUAUUCCAAUUUUAUUAUCUUGAAUUGAGAUUAGAGUAAAAUCAUAGGUUGAAGAAAGGGUAUGAAGCACUUUGAUCGGUAAGGCCCAAACCUUUUGGUAAAAAAAAAAAAAAAAAAGCUUUGAUCGGUAACCGAUAAUCGUCACUAAUAAAGAAAGUUAUCUCUUUGAUUAGAAACAAACAUUGUUAUUAUUAUUAAAUCGAAAACAUGAUAACUAUAUUAUACACAUAUAUGGGUGUCAUCAGCUGAUUAAUUAUGAUGUUGCUUUUGGUGGAGGAAAAGGUCAUAAGAUAUGUA
rnacentral:lncRNA from 1 species